UCAGGAUGAACGCUAGCGGGAGGCCUAACACAUGCAAGCCGAGCGGUAGAGAUUCUUCGGAAUCUUGAGAGCGGCGUACGGGUGCGGAACACGUGUGCAACCUGCCUUUAUCAGGGGGAUAGCCUUUCGAAAGGAAGAUUAAUACCCCAUAAUAUAUUAAGUGGCAUCACUUGAUAUUGAAAACUCCGGUGGAUAAAGAUGGGCACGCGCAAGAUUAGAUAGUUGGUAGGGUAACGGCCUACCAAGUCAGUGAUCUUUAGGGGGCCUGAGAGGGUGAUCCCCCACACUGGUACUGAGACACGGACCAGACUCCUACGGGAGGCAGCAGUGAGGAAUAUUGGACAAUGGGUGAGAGCCUGAUCCAGCCAUCCCGCGUGAAGGAUGACGGCCCUAUGGGUUGUAAACUUCUUUUGUAUAGGGAUAAACCUUUCCACGUGUGGAAAGCUGAAGGUACUAUACGAAUAAGCACCGGCUAACUCCGUGCCAGCAGCCGCGGUAAUACGGAGGGUGCAAGCGUUAUCCGGAUUUAUUGGGUUUAAAGGGUCCGUAGGCGGAUCUGUAAGUCAGUGGUGAAAUCUCACAGCUUAACUGUGAAACUGCCAUUGAUACUGCAGGUCUUGAGUAAGGUAGAAGUAGCUGGAAUAAGUAGUGUAGCGGUGAAAUGCAUAGAUAUUACUUAGAACACCAAUUGCGAAGGCAGGUUACUAUGUCUUAACUGACGCUGAUGGACGAAAGCGUGGGGAGCGAACAGGAUUAGAUACCCUGGUAGUCCACGCCGUAAACGAUGCUAACUCGUUUUUGGGGCUUCGGCUUCAGAGACUAAGCGAAAGUGAUAAGUUAGCCACCUGGGGAGUACGUUCGCAAGAAUGAAACUCAAAGGAAUUGACGGGGGCCCGCACAAGCGGUGGAUUAUGUGGUUUAAUUCGAUGAUACGCGAGGAACCUUACCAAGGCUUAAAUGGGAAUUGAUCGGUUUAGAAAUAGACCUUCCUUCGGGCAAUUUUCAAGGUGCUGCAUGGUUGUCGUCAGCUCGUGCCGUGAGGUGUUAGGUUAAGUCCUGCAACGAGCGCAACCCCUGUCACUAGUUGCUACCAUUAAGUUGAGGACUCUAGUGAGACUGCCUACGCAAGUAGAGAGGAAGGUGGGGAUGACGUCAAAUCAUCACGGCCCUUACGCCUUGGGCCACACACGUAAUACAAUGGCCGGUACAGAGGGCAGCUACACAGCGAUGUGAUGCAAAUCUCGAAAGCCGGUCUCAGUUCGGAUUGGAGUCUGCAACUCGACUCUAUGAAGCUGGAAUCGCUAGUAAUCGCGCAUCAGCCAUGGCGCGGUGAAUACGUUCCCGGGCCUUGUACACACCGCCCGUCAAGCCAUGGAAGUCUGGGGUACCUGAAGUCGGUGACCGUAAAAGGAGCUGCCUA
rnacentral:rRNA from 1 species